rnacentral:rRNA from 1 species
UGCAGUCGAACGAGAAAGGGUAGCAAUACCUGAGUAAAGUGGCGUACGGGUGAGUAACACGUGGAUCAUCUGCCCUUUGGUGGGGAAUAACUUCUGGAAACGGAAGAUAAUACCGCAUAAGUCCGAGAGGAGAACGCAGCAAUGCGCCGAAGGAGGAGUCCGCGGCUGAUUAGCUAGUUGGUAGGGUAAUGGCCUACCAAGGCGACGAUCGGUAGCCGGCCUGAGAGGGCACACGGCCACACUGGCACUGAGACACGGGCCAGACUCCUACGGGAGGCAGCAGUGGGGAAUCUUGCACAAUGGGGGAAACCCUGAUGCAGCGACGCCGCGUGAGUGAUGAAGCCCUUCGGGGUGUAAAGCUCUUUCGACGGGAACGAUAAUGACGGUACCCGGAGAAGAAGCUGCGGCUAACUACGUGCCAGCAGCCGCGGUAAUACGUAGGCAGCAAGCGUUGUUCGGAAUUACUGGGCGUAAAGAGUACGUAGGUGGUUUGCUAAGUCCGAUGUGAAAUCUCCUGGCUUAACUGGGAGGGUGCGUUAGAUACUGGCAGGCUUGAAUGUGGGAGAGGAGAGCGGAAUUCCUGGUGUAGCGGUGAAAUGCGUAGAUAUCAGGAGGAACGCCUGUGGUGUAGACGGCUCUCUGGACCAUUAUUGACACUGAGGUACGAAAGCGUGGGUAGCAAACAGGAUUAGAUACCCUGUAGUCCACGCCCUAAACGAUGCAUACUUGGUGUGGGCAGUUCAGUCUGUCCGUGCCGGAGCUAACGCGUUAAGUAUGCCGCCUGGGGAGUACGUCGCAAGGCUGAAACUCAAAGGAAUUGACGGGGGCCCGCACAAGCGG